rnacentral:lncRNA from 1 species
UGGGCCAUCAUUCUAGUGUCAAAAUGUUAGUGAACAAACGUAUCGUGACUAAUGUGUCAACACGGCUAGGUCCACCUGCCGACGUUGGGAACCUCUGGCGGAAUUAUUGUCGUUUGAGUGGUUGUGACCCUCAAACGCAUAUAGUGUCGAUUGAGGUGGCAAGUUCGGCCUGAGCCUCGCUGCGAGCCGGCAUUCCAAAGCUAGCU